rnacentral:lncRNA from 1 species
AAGAUAAGAAGAUAAAGAAAAGGAUAAAGAUAAAUAAGAUAAAAAUAAGGAUAAAGAUAAGAAGAUAAAGAUAAGAAGAUAAAGAUAAGGAUAAAUAUAAGAAGAUAAAGAUAAGGAAGAUAAAGAUAAGGAUAAGGAACAUAAAGAUUAAGAUAAGGAUAAAGAUAAGAAGAUAAAGAUAAAGAUAAGGAUAAAGAUAAGAAGAUAAAGAUAAGGAAGAUAAAGAUAAGGAUAAGGAACAUAAAGAUUAAGAUGAGGAUAAAGAUAAGGAAGAUAAUGAUAAGGAUAAAGAUAAGGAUAAAGAUAAGAGGAUAAAGAUAAAGAUAAGGAAGAUAAGGAAGAUAACGAUAAG